CGAUGCUCUCCGGGCAGUCUCGCGGUAUUUCCGUCUCCCGCGGGAGUAAUUUAAACAGUCUGGCGGUAACCGCGCCGUGGGCUCUCCGCGGCCGGCUGACUGUAGCUUGAGGCGAUUCCGUGGAGACUCGGCCCGUGGUCGGUCCGGCAGCUGCAGCCGAGCGCGGACAGGGCUCGUCCCAGCGGGGUCCCGGCGCCAUGGGGGUGGAGAAGAGGCUGCUGUCGGUGAAGGAGGCCUUUCAGCUGGCGCAGCAGCCGCACCAGAACCGGGCGAAGCUGGUGAGGGCGCUGAGCCGCACCUACGGCCUGAUUCAAGAAUAUGUGGAAGAAGCAAAAGAAUCUUUUGUGAUCAAAAUCUAUGCUGCCUUGCUCCACGACAGAAGUCAAAAACAAGAGACACAUAGGUAAAUGAUUACUCAAAAAGUCUACUUUCCUCAAUUAUUUCUUCUUCUGGAUGGAUAAUUAAGAGUUAUAAAAGAGUAAAGAUUUUAGUUUGAUGAGCAAUUGCUAAUAUUUCUGAGAAUUUUAGGUUAGUGCUGGGGAUAAAGACUUUUAUCAAUGUAGUUUGUGAAGGAUUUGUUUUGUAUUUCUGGUGGUCAAUAAAACAUUUUUUCAAGAGACAUUUGUUUGUGCUUUUAAUAUGCUAGGAUGGUCUGUAAAUAUGAACCUGCAGCAGAGUGAGAAAUAGAAUUUGCAGUAGUUUGUUACUUCUUUUAACCAAACAGAAGAAAGAUGAAGACAGUGACAUUUCAAAUUAUUUUAAUUAUUGUACUUUGUUCUUGGAAGUAUUUUGGAAGUUUUGUCAAUUUUUGUUAACAUUCGUAGUGAGUGUUUGCAUCACUUAAAAAUUUACUGGAUUGAGGACUUAAGGACUUGUAUAAUUUAGAGAAAAAACAGCUAGGUGUCUAAAUAUAAAUAAAUUUAUAGUAUAUAUAUAUAUAUAUAUAUACACACACACACACACAUGUAUUUAUGUCAUAUCAAAGUGACCUUAUAAAUAUUAUCUUUUUCUGUGGGAUAAAAUGAUUACGAUUAAAAGCUGAUUUAUUAGAUAAUGCUAGCUUCAAUUAAAAAAAUUUAAGAACCGGGCCGGCCCCGUGGCUUAGCGGUUAAGUGCGCGUGCUCCGCUACUGGCGGCCUGGGUUCGGAUCCUGGGCGUGCACCGACGCACUGCUUCUCCGGCCAUGCUGAGGCCGCGUCCCACAUACAGCAACUAGAAGGAUGUGCAACUACGACAUACAACUAUCUACUGGGGCUUUGGGGAAAAAAAAAAAAAAGGAGGAGAAUUGGCAAUAGAUGUUAGCUCAGAGCCGGUCUUCCUCAGCAAAAAGAGGAGGAUUAGCAUGGAUGUUAGCUCAGGGCUGAUCUUCCUCACAAAAAAAAAAAAAAAAAAUUAAGAACCAGCUUCAGGGAGGCCGGCCCCGUGGCUUAGCGGUUAAGUGCGCACGCUCCGCUGCUGGCAUCCUGGGUUCGGAUCCCGGGUGUGCACCGAAGCAUUGCUUCUCUGGCCACGCUGAGACCGCGUCCCACAUACAGCAACUAGAAGGAUGUGCAGCUAUGAAAUACAACUAUCUACUGGGGCUUUGGGGGGAAAAAUAAAUAAAAUAAAAUUAAAAAAAAAAAAAAAAAGAACGAGCUUCAGGUAAAUAUAUUUAAAUGAGUGCUUUACUUAGGAAGGAAGUUAAAAGACCAUUUUUUUGGUACAAAAAUUAUUGCAUUCUUGUUAUUUGGCAAAUAUUUCAGACAAGGAUUAUUUUGAGACUAUAUUAAAUGUAUAUUUAGCAUACCUAUGUAUGAAAUUAUCAUUAUAGCUUCUCUUUUUUGCAUGAAUUGUAUCUUCCUUAUGAAUUAUUAAAGUCUUGAAUUCUGAACUUAGGGAAAUCAGAUGGUUGUGAUUACAAUGCAACCUGGGAAUAUGUUUGAUUUUUCUUUUUUUCAGGACUGAGGCAAAUAGCAAUGAAGUUCAAUUUUUAGUGUACCAGAUUCUAAAUAAGUUCUUGGGAAAUAUGCUGGAAAAUGCCUGGAUUGAUAUUUUGUAUAUAAAAUUAAUGAAGCUCUUAUUAUACCAAAAGAUAAAAUUCCAGAUAUGUGAAUACAGGUAGUCCUGGCUCUUUCGAGACUUAAGACCUAUUGGUAGUGACUGCCCCAUGGUUAAAGGUAUGUGCAACUUCAUAGUUUUUUUUCUUUGAUUUUUAAAUGCACAGUAGUUGAAUUUUCCUUAUUGAAUAUAUAAUAGUGAGAGAAGAGAUAUGAUACACACACAUACCCCCCAUUCAAAAAUAUGUAGUUCCAACAGCAAUUCUCUGACACCAACUGGGUGUCCCAUAAUUCAACUACUCAGAGUUAGAGCAGACCCAUAGGUCAAGGAGGGCUCAGUCCCACAAGACUGCCCCCCUCUUCAGAUGCCAACCACAAGAUUUGGGUAUCCCCAAGCAACCUGUACUUCUACCCAGCUGACUACAAAUUCAGGGAUUCCCCUCUGGGGUGAUAAUUCUCUAGACUGACUCUUGACAGAACUCAGUAAAGUGCUACACUUACUAUUACAGUUUUAUUGUAGAGGAUACAACUGAGGAACAGCCAAAUGGAAGAGAUACAUAUGGCAAAAUAUGGGAAGAAGGGAGUGCAGAGCAUCCAUGGCCUGUCUGGGCAUGUCACCCUCCCAGCACAUUGGUGUAUUCACCAACCUGAAAGCUUCCUGAGCCUGGUUGUUUCAGGGAUUUUUAUGGGAUUUCAUUGAGUAGGCAUGAUUGAUUAAGUCACUGGCUAUUUGAUUGAACUCAGUCUCUAAUACUUUUCCCCUCCCUGGAAAUCAGGAUGAGCCUGAAAGUUUCAGCCCUAUAGUCACCUGGCUAGUUUUUAUAGCCUCCAUCCUGAAGCUAUCUAGGGCUCCCAACCCUGUAGGAGUCACCUCAUUAGCAUAAACUCAGGUGUGGUUGAAAGGGACUCUUGAAAAAAAGUAUAUGUUUACUGUUAUAAACUAAACUGUUAUCACCUUUCUCAAACAUGUGCAAAAGUUUCUCUGGCUAAUAUGCCUAGAGGUAAUGUUAUGGGCUGAAUUGUGUUUCCUCAAAAUUCAUGUCGAAGCCCUAACUCUUGAUGCCUCAGAAUGUGACUGCAUUUGGAGAUAGGGCCUUUAAAGAAGUAAUUAAGUUAAAAUGAGGCCUUUGGGGGAGGCCCUAAUUCAGUGUGACUAGUGUCUUUAUAAGAAGAGAAAAUCAGGACAUACAGAGACACACUGGACACGUGCAUGCAGAGAGGAAAGGCCACAUGAGGACGUCUACAAGAGGACAUCUGCAGGCCAAGGGCAGGGGCCUCAGAAGAAACCAGACCUGCCCACACCUUGCUCUUGGACUUCUAGCCUCCAAAACUGAGAAAAUAAAUUUCUGUUGUUUAAGCCACCUAGUCUAUAGUGUUUUUGUUAUGGCAGCCCUAGCAAACUAAUACAGUUAGAAUUGCUAGAUGGUAGAAUUAUGCACAUGUUCAACUUAAUUAGUAUUGCUGAUAUUUUUCUAAAGUGGUUGGACCGAUUUACAAUCCUACUGGCAGUGUAUGAGAAUUCUUGUUCUGCAUCCUUGCCCAAACCUGAUACUGUGAGACUUGACUUUUUCCAGUCUGAUUGGAGAGGAAUGGAAUCUUGUCAUUUUAGUUGUAUUUUCCUGAUAACUGAGAGUUGCAUAUCUUCAUAUGUUUCUUGUUUCUGUAUCAAUAAAAUGCCUGUUAUAUCUUUGUCUACUAUAUCAAUAAAAUGCCUAUUAUAUCUUUGUCUACU